GAAGACACAGAGCCAUUGGUGCUGAUUCAAGCCAGAACGGAUAUCCCCUGGCUGUAUAGCAGGUCAACAAAGAGAGAAAACAGUAGGUGGUCCUGCCUACUGCUGGAUUAAGUUCAAAGCCUGGAAAGAAAUUUGCAUUUGGAGGGCAGAUACAAGGAGGUAUGUUUUAUUGAAUCUCUGGUACCUUACCCUUUUUCAAGUUCAUAAUGCGUAUGUUGGAU
rnacentral:lncRNA from 1 species